rnacentral:rRNA from 1 species
AUUGAACGCUGGCGGCAUGCCUUACACAUGCAAGUCGAACGGCAGCACGGGUGCUUGCACCUGGUGGCGAGUGGCGAACGGGUGAGUAAUACAUCGGAACAUGUCCUGUAGUGGGGGAUAGCCCGGCGAAAGCCGGAUUAAUACCGCAUACGAUCUACGGAUGAAAGCGGGGGACCUUCGGGCCUCGCGCUAUCGGGUUGGCCGAUGGCUGAUUAGCUAGUUGGUGGGGUAAAGGCCUACCAAGGCGACGAUCAGUAGCUGGUCUGAGAGGACGACCAGCCACACUGGGACUGAGACACGGCCCAGACUCCUACGGGAGGCAGCAGUGGGGAAUUUUGGACAAUGGGCGAAAGCCUGAUCCAGCAAUGCCGCGUGUGUGAAGAAGGCCUUCGGGUUGUAAAGCACUUUUGUCCGGAAAGAAAUCCUUGGCCCUAAUACGGGCGGGGGAUGACGGUACCGGAAGAAUAAGCACCGGCUAACUACGUG